GCCGGUUUAGCUCAGUUGGUAGAGCAGCGCACUUGUAAUGCGAAGGUCAGGAGUUCGACUCUUCUAACCGGCACCA
rnacentral:tRNA from 10 species